GGCGUGGAGCAGCGGCCCGGCAGCUCGUUGGGCUCAUGACCCGAAGGUCGCAGGUUCGGAUCCUGCCCCUGGCUACCA
rnacentral:tRNA from 1 species